rnacentral:rRNA from 1 species
UACGAAGGGGGCUAGCGUUGCUCGGAAUCACUGGGCGUAAAGCGCACGUAGGCGGCUUCUUAAGUCAGGGGUGAAAUCCUGGAGCUCAACUCCAGAACUGCCCUUGAUACUGAGAGGCUCGAGUCCGGGAGAGGUGAGUGGAACUCCGAGUGUAGAGGUGAAAUUCGUAGAUAUUCGGAAGAACACCAGUGGCGAAGGCGGCCUUCUGGACCAGUACUGACGCUGAGGCACGAAAGCGUGGGGAGCAAACAGG